rnacentral:lncRNA from 1 species
GUCAUAGUACAUAUCCUGCAGGCUUUCAACCUUGACCAGAGGUUUUCAUAAUGAAUGCAGCAUCCCUGGGGAGUGAUCUGAAGCUGGCGAGGCAAUGAGAACACCCUGGCAGGGCAGCUGAGCUGGGUGGAUCCUUGUUCUGUCACCAAGCCUUUAAGUCAUAUGCUGACAUGUUACAGUCCUGCCUGGGACCCUGCCCACAAAUACUUAAGAUACACGACUUUGGGAAUCACCCAACUGAUGGAAAGAACCAGGAAAGGGGUCAGGAUCUGCACCUUGGCAAACUUUGAAGAACACCCAAUUUGAUGAAUGAAAACUCCUCACUUGUGCUCUGGUGGUGUUUUAGGACAAUGGGCCCCUCCUGGAUGCUCCAGUGAAGCCCCAUAUCACCUUUUUCCUUCCUGUUUGCCAUAGCUCCAGGUGUAGGGACAGAUCAGAAGAUUCUGGAAAAGGCAGAUCACCAAAGAACUCAAGAUGUACUGAUAUUUUGCCAGUUUCCUUCAUCAACAACUUGUCUUCUUUACCAACUAAGGGCAAACAAAGAGAACAAACUAAAAAAAAAAAAAAAAGAAAAGAAAAGAAUUAAAUAAUUAAACAAAGAACUUAAAUAAGAAGGUUGUACCUGCCUACAAGAUUAUCAACACCAUGUGAGAACAUCCACUUUGCUGAACUCUUUCUCACAUAUCACCUUUAGAGAUGUUACAUGGUAUGCUUUUAAUU